ACAACAGCCGGACUGUCGGUCUACUGAGCAAUUUCACCCUCUCGGUGAAGAUUUUCACUCUGUCCU
rnacentral:pre_miRNA from 1 species